GUCCGAAUGCCUAUGAGGGAAAAGUGCACAGUUGCCCAGCCUGUCCUCCAGCAGGUGCUUCCCCAGGGAGGCUCCGCCGCUGGGCAGUGGGCUUUGAUCGGUUGUGGUGGCAUGGUGCGGGAGCAAGGGAACGCUGAGAACUCAUUUCUGAGAUGCUUGCGCGGCUGUGGCUGCACAGGCCAGUGAAGAGGAAGGAAGUCUCUGUGAGCAUGGGAACCUGGAAGAAAGCAAGUGAAGCCGCUCACAGUGACCCGGGACCGGCGUUCAGUGGUGCACCCUCAUUAAGCUACUUUGCAGGAAAAGGGAAUUUUGGAGAGAAGAAGUAUUGUGGCACAACGGAUUAAGCUGCCAAUUGCAGCACCAGCUUUCCUUGUGAGACUGUGGGUUCGAGUCGCACACACACUGUUCUGCUCCAGCUCCAGCUGAUGCACCUGGGAAUACAGCAGCGGGUGGCCCACGUGCGUGGACUUCUG